AGACACAACAAAGCCGUGACCAGAGUGUUCAGGACUGUCUUUCUGAUAUGGGGCUGAGCCCUGGCCCCCUCAAGAAGGCUCCUUAACCUGACUUGGCCUCACCUGGCAUCCAGGGCUGUGAGAGGCGAUGCACAAGUGAGGGAGCCCAGCGUCCGGCCAGACCAGGAAACCCAGCCCUCUGGAGAUGCCGAGCUUAGGUCCUGUCCCAAAGCCAGCAAAUAUCCAAACCAAGGCACCAAUGCCAGAGGCAAGUUCAGCUUCGUUGCCAUUCUUUCCCGGAGGAGCCGGUCCCAAGUGUCCAUCCCAAGGAUCUCUCCUGACACCCUGAGGUACCUGUCACCACUAAAACUGCUCAACAUGUUCAAAUCUGUCCAUUCUAAGGGAUGUCAAAGGUCAUGAAGGCAGGAGUUUUCUCCUAGAAUAUCAGUGCUGAGCCCAGUACACAAUAAGGUCUUAAUCAACAUUGCUUGGGUGGAUGGAUGGUUAGGUAGAUGGAUGGAUAGAUGGAUAAAAAGAUGGAUGGAUGGAUGGGUGGG
rnacentral:lncRNA from 1 species